AACAAAACAUAAAAAGGUAUGUUUGUUAAUACGUACUAUCAUAAACGUUUUGUUUAAAAUGUCAUUAACACGUUUGUUUUUCAGGGACGCAAAAAGACAAUUCAGUUAACUGAGAUUCCCCUUAAACAUUUUGACCGCCUGAAAGUCGAUAAAUAAUUCACACAGCACAAACUAAACAAGUUUUUUUCUGUAAUAAAUCAGUAACGUUAAUAAAUCGAGAGGUGAUGAUGGCAUUGCGGUUCUCCUAGUAGCCUAACUUACAUGUGGUUUUUAAUAUUGGCAUAUUCUGACCUAGAUCUAAUGGCAAGUGAGGAGUUAAAUGAUUUCUACCGCAGGGUUCAAAUGUUUAGUCGAUGCGACCGAUGUCAGCAGUCUAGCUGUGCAGAGCUCGGGCUUAUAUUCUGAUAAGAAUAUAUUCCGGGUCAGUGACUUCGCGAUGCAUAACCACACGUCCAAGCCAAUGCUUAAAAUAUCCAACAAGCCAUGAAUAUAAUAUCCCCACGCGGAGAAGCGCAUCUGUCAGUAGUGCAGGCCAGGAAGAGCUCAUAACACAGAAAAUAAAAAACCCACAUAGUGAUCUACUUUCAAAAGAGAAGACAAGUUAACAAAUGAAAGAAUCAAGUGGAGCUAUAGGUGAAGAUAAAUGAAAGAAAACUACUUGUCACUGUGAUAAACGACAAGAGAGGAGAAACAUUGUACGUGCCAUCUAAAAACAGACAGGAGCCACCUGGAGCUCUCAGCCCAACCUGUCCAGGUGUGGAUCCAUUAGUGAGCAUGUGUGAACGCUUGUUUGGAAAGUCCGGUGGUUUUGGAGGUGAAGGCUGGUUCCCUUGAGACACGCUUGCAAAAUGAGGAA